ensembl:piRNA 21ur-2268 ncRNA
UACUGAAGAAGACGGACAAAG